rnacentral:rRNA from 1 species
ACGGGGGGCCUACGGGAGGCAGCAGUGGGGAAUAUUGGACAAUGGGGGGAACCCUGAUCCAGCCAUGCCGCGUGUGUGAAGAAGGCCUUAUGGUUGUAAAGCACUUUAAGCGAGGAGGAGGCUCUUUUGGUUAAUACCCAAGAUGAGUGGACGUUACUCGCAGAAUAAGCACCGGCUAACUCUGUGCCAGCAGCCGCGGUAAU